rnacentral:rRNA from 2 species
UGCAGUCGAACGGUAACAGGUCUUCGGAUGCUGACGAGUGGCGAACGGGUGAGUAAUACAUCGGAACGUGCCCGAUCGUGGGGGAUAACGAAGCGAAAGCUUUGCUAAUACCGCAUAAGAUCUACGGAUGAAAGCAGGGGACCGCAAGGCCUUGCGCGAACGGAGCGGCCGAUGGCAGAUUAGGUAGUUGGUGGGAUAAAAGCUUACCAAGCCGACGAUCUGUAGCUGGUCUGAGAGGACGACCAGCCACACUGGGACUGAGACACGGCCCAGACUCCUACGGGAGGCAGCAGUGGGGAAUUUUGGACAAUGGGCGAAAGCCUGAUCCAGCCAUGCCGCGUGCAGGAUGAAGGCCUUCGGGUUGUAAACUGCUUUUGUACGGAACGAAAAGACUCUGGUUAAUACCUGGGGUCCAUGACGGUACCGUAAGAAUAAGCACCGGCUAACUACGUGCCA